GUGUCAAGUGAAAAUAACUUGAGGGCUAUGAUGGAAAAGAUGUGGAGUUCACCUGGCUGAGAGGGAACGACUCUGCAUGGGCUGGAAACCCUGUGGCUUGCUUAGUACACCAUACAGUGGUAUUUCACCUUGGUCACCAGAUCGCAGCAGGAGACAGGUACACAAUGAUGAGAGACUUGAGUCCUGCUUUCUAACUUAGAAAAGGCAUGUGUGUUGAACACCUGGCCACGGAGAA
rnacentral:lncRNA from 1 species